rnacentral:lncRNA from 1 species
UUUGGAUUUUUUAGUAGAGACGGGGUUUCACCGUGUUAGCCAGGAUGGUCUCGAUCUCCUGACCUCGUGAUCCGCCCGUCUCGGCCUCCCAAAGUGCUGGGAUUACAGGCUUGAGCCACCGUGCCCGGCAUAAUAUGUGUUUAACAUUAGUCUCUAAGGAGGGCUAUGCCGGUAUCCAGGUGAGUUAUCCUACUUUUCCACAUUAUAGUAUGACCAAUGAGAUUUCUAAGUCAAGCGAUAAUGGUUUCUCCAACAUUGGUGCUGAUCUCAAAGUUCUACGAAGAUUAAGGUAGUGUUGGUGGUUCCUCUAACGAGGAAAAUGACUGAUACAAGUUGCAGGUGCCCCCUCCUUUUUUGCAGGUAAAACAGCGUGUUUCAUUAAGCAUAUUCAUUGUUGAAUAUGUUUCUUCAGGUACCAGUAGUCAUGAAAUCAUAGUGAACCUAACAGUGGUCAUUUAUGGGUUCUUGGUAGUAACUAGGUCAGUGAUAAAUUGGGUCUUACCACACUACAGACCACCUGUUGUUCAGAUUUUUAGGUAAGUGAGUAUGGUCCCUCUAACACAGUGUUACUGUGUUUGUCUUUUUCAGGCUUCCCAAAAGUUGUUUGGUAGUAUACAGGCAUGAGGUGGUGUGACUCCAACUCAUUAGAUGCCUUCGUCUUUUCAGUUAUGUUCCUGUCAAGAGAUUAUAACAAACCUAACAAUGGUCAUUAUCAGGAGCUGUUUUUGGUAUCCAGGUUCCAGCCAGAAGAUCAUGUUGAACUUCAUAAUGACCAUUAAUGGGGGCUUUGCUUGUAGACAAGUGAUUAUGUGGGCCUUAAGCAUCCUACAGAUCAUGUGAUCUUCACAUAUCUUGAGCUGCCAUGGAAAGAACUGAAAAUCUAGAAGGACCACAUUGAGUCAUUGUCCUCAUGUGAAAUUCUCCAAGAGCCUUUUGAGAUGCCAGAAAGACCUUCUACUGGUGUUCUUUUCUCCCUUUAGCAGCCCUUGAGCCUGUUGCAAUAAACUCUUACCUUUUAUGGAAUCA